rnacentral:misc_RNA from 1 species
CUCGAGGCCGGCUACGGGAGA